CAGCCGCCACGGUAAUACCAGCAGCCCAAGUGGUGGUCGCGUUUAUUGGGCCUAAAGCGCUCGUAGCCUGGCCGGUAAGUUCCCCGUGAAAUCGGGUCGCCCAACGAUUCGGCUUGCGGGGAAUACUGUCGGUCUUGGGGCCGGGAGACGCCGAGGGUACUCCGGGGGUAGCGGUGAAAUGCUGUAAUCCUCGGGGGACUACCAGUGGCGAAGGCGCUCGGCGAUAACGGGCCUGACGGUGAGGGGCGAAAGCUGGGGGCGCGAACGGGAUUAGAUACCCCCGUAGUCCCUGUCUCUUAUA
rnacentral:rRNA from 1 species